GACUCCGUAGCUCAGUUGGUAGAGCAAAUGACUCUUAAUCAUUGGGUCGUGGGUUCGAUCCCCACCGGGGUCA
rnacentral:tRNA from 1 species